rnacentral:rRNA from 1 species
GGGGGGUGCAAGCGUUGUUCGGAUUUAUUGGGCGUAAAGCGCGUGUAGGCGGUUUUAUAAGUCUGAUGUGAAAGCCCUGGGCUCAACCCGGGAAGUGCAUUGGAUACUGUAAGACUUGAAUACGGGAGAGGGCAGUGGAAUUCCUAGUGUAGGAGUGAAAUCCGUAGAUAUUAGGAGGAACACCGGUGGCGAAGGCGGCUGCCUGGACCGAUAUUGACGCUGAGACGCGAAAGCGUGGGUAGCAAACAGGAUUAGAUACCCUGGUAGUCCACGCUGUAAACGAUGAGAACUAGGUGUUGCGGGUAUUGACCCCUGCAGUGCCGUAGCUAACGCAUUAAGUUCUCCGCCUGGGAAGUACGGUCGCAAGACUA